rnacentral:rRNA from 1 species
CAUAUUAAUCAGCGGAGGAAAAGAAACUAACCAGGAUUCCCUCAGUAACUGCGAGUGAAGCGGGAUCGGCUCAAUGUGUGAAUCUGGCUUGGGGUAGUUCCCUGGUCCGAGUUGUGCACUAUGGACGUUUCGUCUGCGUUUGUAAUGGCGGUGGAAGUCCGUUGAAACACGGCACCUCAGAGGGUCACAGUCCUGUACCACCUGCCUGCACUCGCGCCAAUGACAAGCGCUCCUCGAGUCGCGUAGUUUUGUAAUGCUGCGCCAAGUGGGAGGUAGAGACCUUCUAAGGCUAAAUAUGAUGACGUGACCGAUAGCACACAAGUACCGCGAGGGAAAGGUGAAAAGCAACCAUGAAAAAUGGGUUGAAACAGUAGUGAAAGCGCUACCGGGAUAAGGGCUAUCGGGUGCUGGGGCUUCUCGGGUGUGCUUUAGUGCUACCCUUGGAGACGGCCCGCGUGGGUUGAUUGGGGCGAUAGACGCGUUGUAGGAAUUCGGCUGCCUCCGGGCAGUGUUGUAGCCUGCGGUUGCUGAUCCCCCUGCGACCUUUUGUAAUUGCGGGUCUUGCGACCGUUAGCCGCCCGUCUUGAAACACGGACCAAGGAGUGCACCUUGCAUGCGAGUCGAAGGGAUCCGAAACCUGGAGGCGUAGCGAACGCGACGAUGGGGAAUGUCCUUGUGGCAGACACCCGCACCCGCCUUGUGCGAGGUAGAGCAUGUACGGUGCGACCCGAAAGAUGGUGAACUAUGCCCGGGUAAGGUGAAGCCAGUGGAAACGCU